UUUUAUUCCAUGAAAAGGGAAGAACUUAAUUAAAUUCUAAUAUAAGAUCUCAUUAUCACACUUAAUCAUAGUGAAUGUAAACAGUUUAUAUUUCCCAUCCUGCAUCGCUCUGUAGGCGCUUUAUUUCAUUGGUCAAUUUCCCGAGGCGCCAUUUUUGGAGGAUCGAGAAGGACGAAGAAGAAGGUGUAAGCAGCUGGUAAAUGUGAAAAGUUAAGAUGAUUUCACCACCCAGUGUCUUUAAGACUGUGAUAAAUGCAAUGGCCAACAAUGAAGGAUUAGUGUACGUAUAUUUUUGUUAACUUUUUACGGUAAAUAGUUGUAAUAUUUGGCAACAACAAAUCUUCACUAUCGGAGGCAACUUUUGUUCUGACGCCAUUUUGAAAAGUUGGAUACCUAAGUUUUAAAUUGUUAAGUGUAUAUAUUGCAGAGAGAAAGAGAGAGAGAAAAAAAAUUGAGACAGUGAUAUAGCAUAACUUAGAUUAUGGAGGCCCCAAAGGCACCGUGCAUGUGCAUGCUGUAUGUUGUAAAAUGGCAACGUUUCGCCUUUUAUCAUGUUUAUUAAAAUGUAUGCUCCAUAUGUAUGUUCUCUCUCUAUAUAUAAAUGAAUCCUUUUCGGAAAAAAAAAAAAAAAUAUUUUUAACCUCGCUCAAAUUAUCCGGAUGAUGAUAGUUACACCGAGCAUGGUUUCGUAGUUAAAUUCAUACUGUAGAACAUCCGGUUUGAAUUCAUGUGUUUUCUGACUUUUCGGAUAGCCAACUCUUGUUUUUUGGAACUUACGACUUAUGGAAAGAGAGAAGAAAACUGUGUGACUUUAAAAGAAAACCAGUGAGAUAAAAUCAUAGAAAAUGUAUGAUGAUUCAGGAUGUGGUCAUUUGUGACAUUAAAACAGGAAUUGUCAUCACCAAUAGACGAAUUUCACAUUCCUUAGAGUUUUCUCCAAUUGUCGGUAUAUCGCUCAUUUUCCCCACUUUGUCCUUUGUCCUGUUCUGUGGAUGCCCUAGACAGUGUCUACCCAUCACUCCAUCUGAAAUCACUUGUUCUGUGCAUAUUUCUCUCUCAAACUUAAACUACAGAGAGCCUGUGGAUAGAGGAUGAAGAGUGACCUUGGACUAAUUUUCUAGGUCAAAGAUCAUAGGUGACGUGAAGAAAACCAGGAAACUGAUGUUGAAAGAAGUACUUAAUGACCCUUAUGAAUGGACUUAAAUGUGAAAGACUGUUCCAUUGUUUAUCUAAGAUAUAUGAAUUUAUUUAAUAUUUUGAUAUCAUUGAAAAAUUCAGUUACAGUUUUUGUACAUCAAAUGAAUUAUUAAACAUAUAAAAUGGUAA